GGUAGCCACCACCCUUCACAGCAAAGCGGACGGAGAGGGGUCCCUUGAGUGGUGCCUUGCUGUCUUGUGUAAAGGUCUUGGCUGGUGACUCCUUCAUGUCAUCCAAAAAUUCCGCGGCGCCCUUUUCUCUGAUGGCCAGCUCAUGGAUGGGGAGGUUGGCGACAAGGACUAGGUGGGUGUACGUGGGGGUAGUGCCCUUGCCGACCGUCAAGGUCACACUGUUGCCGCACAAUCCAACAGCAAACAAUGCUGCCAGCGCUGCCAUGGCCAGCAGGAAGGAGGACGAGGAUGCCAUUGGUGACCUAAUAACUCAGUAGGAGUAACUUACCAUAUUUCCUGAUGGAUCGAGAGGGUGGGAGGUAGGGAUAUGUGUGGUGAUUGUUGUUGCGGAUUAUUACAUCAGCUGGCUGCGUAUUUAUGGGCUGUGUAGGCAAGAAGACAUGCCACAAAGAUCUCUGCCUGGCCGGCUUGUUUGUUGACGAAUACUUGUUCAAUUGCCACAAAUAGAUGUGUGUUCAGUAGUCCAGCUUGUCUUGCUUUCAGGCAAAAGAAGCGCAGGACAUGCAGAUCUCUCAUAAAGCAUUGGCCAUGCAACCCCCACAUCGUGACACCGUGACCUACUAUUUUGAGUAAAAUACAGAAAAAGUCACACCGUGACCUACUUAAACAAAUUUAAUACUCUUUAUACCUUCAAAUAUAAGAGAUUACAUAUUCAAAAUUUGUUAUGUUUGACCACUAUUAUUAGUCUAAUCUACUGUUAGAAUUCAGGACCAAACAGUGUGGACAUGAGAGUUGUUUAACAUCUCUAACAUGAAAUCCGCCUUGUAAGAUGAACAUGAACAACGUGUAUCCAAAUAGGGUUAAAUAGUACGUAGUGGUGACCGGCUUCUCUUGAUGUCUGGGUGAUUUUGAGGGAUCAUGACGCUAUUACUCGUAUUUACUAUAUUUGGUGCAGCGCCACCACGAUUGUAGGACUCCAUAAAAUAAGGUUCAAAUAUAUAACAUUUUAAAAAUAAAUGAUUAUCGUAACAGCUGUACGAAAGCUUCGUCGUCCCUUGAAUGUGAUUUUUCUGCUCGAUGAGUGUAGAAGUGAAAGACUAUCGAUAUACAUAUUAUGGGAAUACCCCUUCAGACUUUAUGUGUAUAUUUGAGCACAGUGGCGGACUCAGGCCCCGGGUGCCCGUGCUGCAUGCAGCCCGUGUCGUUGACCGAAAAACCACUGGUAAAUCAUCUAAACAAUGAAAUAUUAAGAGUCUAAAUUCUAUAGUUGUGGAAAUUUCAUGUGUUAUUAGCCCGGAUCCUAGUGUGAUCUUGGAUCCACCCCUGUUCGUGCGGAAAGCAGAUUAUUCACUAAAGCGUAGACUGUUUCUAGAGACGGCAAGGAAGGCUCUAUAUAAGUGGCUUGCAAUAAAAUACAACUAUGCAAAUCUGAUUUCCAGCCAAAGCUCAGAAUCUAUACACCCUUAGAAAUACAAUCGCAGAUUUCACAAAUCUCAUGAAAGAAAAGCAAGCAUCAUUUUUCGUAAAUCUGAAAAGUCCCGCCAGCCAAUCACAACUCACUAGUACAGAACAGACUUUCGGUUUUAGGUUUCAGUCCCGGUCACUUUUAGACCCGAGACUAAAGAAAGUAUUAGUCCUGGUUGGAGCUUCCAUCUCAUACUAAAGUCCCCUGCCAACAGAUAGAGCAGCGGGCUUUUUCAGCAUAGACAUUUAGUUCUGAUUUGUGGAUCAAAACGGGACUAAAUGCCGCCUUCCAAUCCUGGGUGGUUCGAAAUAAUGGAACCAAAGGUUUUUAUCUCGGUUUGUGGCUUCAACCGGGACUAGAGGUUGAUCCAUCGGUUCUAGUAGGCUCAUCUAGGACUAAACUGUCCCCACUAUAUAUAGCCGCUUCCACAGUCCCCAACCCGAGACAGUUUCAAUUCUUGAGUCUUUUGCCUGUGUGCAUGUUCACCGGUUGUUCUUGCUUGGGGGAGCAAGUUCUUACUCCAGGCCGCCGGCUUCAGCAUUACCUUGAUUUCAUCGAUUCCUAAAUGCACCCAUGCCUGUUUUAUUAUUGUGGAGCCUCCUUCACAUAUGGUUGGCAUUGGUCUGCCUCUCAUCAACAAAACCAUCAGAACCGUAAAUGGUAUCAUCGUCAUCCUCACCAUCAUAUCCUUUGUUCUCGUCUGCUUUCGAAGGAGCAACCCUCCUAGCUGUUGAACCCUCCCUGUCAUUGUGGACAUUUGCUUUUCCACUCUCAAUUUGGUGGCUGACGCUUCUGAUCUCAUUGCUUAUUACGGUCACCAGUUGUAGAAUGAAAACCUUCAGCUCCUGCAAAUAACAUUUCAAUGCAGGCUCGUUGGUAGGCAUGGUUACUUACAAAACAAAACUCCCUAUGUACACUGAACUUCUAGUAGUGAUCAUAUGGUAGUUCUAAUUGGCAUGAGGAAGCUGCUUAUUGCAUUAAAUCAUCUGCAAAAAAGCUAGUCAAUUUGGAUAUAAUUUUAUAAUGUGAAUGUGAAAUUUUAAAUUGAGAGAACACUGAAUUUUAAUGUGAACUCGUAUGUUCUAUGCAAAUUUAUAUACGUUCAUUUAAUGCAAACCCAUGGGUUUUAUAAUUUGUGGGUGUAAUUAGUUAGUGGAUUGAAAUGGUUUGGGUUAAAACUAUUGAAACGUGGAGUGGGGUAGAGUACAAGGACUAAUUACUAGUUAGCUAAAAAUUAGCUCUAGUACAUCUAAACAGGUGGACUAUUUUACAUAAGUCAUCAAAUGGAUCAUGACAUACUGCUGCGUAAGUUAUUUUGUCUUUUUUAUUUUCCCUUUUUUAUUAUCUUUAAUUAUAUUUGCCUCUAUAACCAAUGCAAGCAUUGCCGGUUGGGUUGCUUUCCCAUCUAUAUCUUUAUACACAUAUAUAGCAAAACACCACGAGCCGUUUUGUCUCUUCUUAUGGGCUCAUUUGGCUGCACACAAAUUGAUCCGAAUCCACGUAGUUUGGGAGGGAUUGAGGUGGAAGUUAGUUUAAAUUCCACCUCAAUCCCAUUCAAACCGGGUGUAUUUGUGUGCAGCCAAACAAAACCUAAGGUAUUCACAUCAUUCUCCACUAACUGACCUCACUAGAUGUUCUAUUUCUUCAUGCAAUGUAUCGACAUCAUUCCCAACUAUAUGUCCCAGUAACUAGCAUUCCUUUUAUGCAAGCUUUCUAUCUCUUUACCUGGAGAUCAUGUACGCCGAUGCACAGACGACAUAGGAAGGGACCCUGCCCUCCCGUUGGCCCCAUCGAACCUCCAACGGUGCUGCGGCACGCAAGCUAGCCGCGCGAACGCCGCCCUCCUCGCUGUCCUCACGGCGGCCACGCCGAUGUGUACAUCGUCAGCUGGAAGAGGACCUCUUUGUGCACAAGCUGGAGAGUGGCUGCUACUAGCCUACUACAUCGUCGGCAUGCUCGUUGAGAAGUUCCACAAGUUGCUUGUCGAGUAGAGUAAUGGAUCUUGGACAGCAUGGCCUCAUUGCGCAUGAAUGCACGAUGUCGCUGAGUGGUCGGAACUCUAGUGGAUGGCGUACAAUCUUCCGGAGCGUAGCCUCAUUUCUCUCCUUGACGAACGGCGCGUGCCACGAACCGCAUGUCGUAGUGGCCGGGAACUUGCAUGAAGGAGCUGGACCGUGCGUCCACAGACUCCGCCACGAACUCCGGCUGUGUCGUAGCCUGCACCAGAGCCAAAGUAGGCGAGAAUCUGCAGCUCUGUUACGACCCACACGGUCCCGGCAUAUCCUCCUCAUGAUUGUCAACGUUCAUUGCAUCCUCAGCAAUACCAUGAAUUCCAGCGGCUUAUUAUUAACACAACGCAUCAUAAUUUGUUGCAAUAUUUACACUUACUUGCAACCACAAUUAUAUUUAUCAUGGCCCUAACAGCUACCUCUCCCAACAGAUCUACAACUGACAUGUACAACUCAGUAGUUUAGAUGUAUUAAGAGCCACGUAUAGCAAUAACUUAUAGUCCAUGUUACAAUAGAUCCUCCUAUUCCGAUUAAAUUUGUGGUGCUGAGAAAACAAGUGUUUGGAUUAUUAGGGUAAAACUUUUGUUGUGAUUGAAUAAUUUGUGUUAAAUAAAAGAUCACAAGUACAAAUUCAAUUUUCAUGACAUUUUGGACUUGCUAAAGAAGAUAAAAAAGCCUCACUGAUUUUGACACAAACAUGUAAUGAAACUUUAGAAAAAUCAUAUAUACACAGCUGCCUUGACAAUGGUUGACUAGAUAUCUUGUGCCAUAUAAAAAUAAUAUCGUCAAUUGUGUGUAUACAUAGCUCCACAACAAUAUGCAGGAGGAGAACCUAGUAUACUUUAUUUUGCGGUAGAUUACCACAAAAUAACCACAGUAAAUGAAUUACUGGCCUGCUUAUUUAUAUCCUCAAUCUAUAUUACAAAUUAUAUAAUGGUCAAAUAAAUUCACUCAAUGCAAGACCAGAUGUGCCGAUUACUCAAAACGGGAUAUUGGUGUUGAUAACUGCGCCAGGCUUCAAUCCAACAGGGAAAAUCUCAUCCCUGUUGCGGUAGCCGCCACCCUUCACAGCAAAGCGGACGGAGAGGGGUCCCUUGAGCGGUGCCUUGCUGUCUUGUGUAAAGGUCUUGGCUGGUGACUCCUUCAUGUCGUCCAAAAAUUCCGCGGCGCCCUUUUCUCUGAUGGCCAGCUCAUGGAUGGGGAGGUUGGCGACAAGGACUAGGUGGGUAUAUGUAGGGGUAGUGCCCUUGCCGACCGUCAAGGUCACUGUGUUGCCGCACAAUCCAACUGCAAACAAUGCAGCCAGCGCGACGAGGAUGCCAUUGGUGACCUAACAACUUAGUAGGAGUAACUGAUCCUGUUUCCUAUGGAUCGAGAGAGCGGGAGAGAGGGAUAUGUGUGGUGAUUGUUGUUGCGGAUUGCAGCAGCUGGCUGCGUAUUUAUUGGCGGCGCUUAACCUAACAAUCCUAAGCUGCUCCCC
rnacentral:lncRNA from 1 species